rnacentral:rRNA from 1 species
CCUACGGGUGGCAGCAGUAGGGAAUAUUCCACAAUGGGCGAAAGCCUGAUGGAGCAACGCCGCGUGGGGGAAGAAGGUCUUCGGAUCGUAAAACCUUGUUGAUAGAGAAGAAAGUGCGUGAGCGUAACUGUUCACGUUUCGACGGUAUCUAAACAGAAAGCCACGGCUAACUACGUGCCAGCAGGCGCGGUAAUACGUAGGUGGCAAGCGUUAUCCGGAUUUAUUGGGCGUAAGGGGAACGGAGGCGGUCUUUUAAGUCUGAUGUGGAAGUCUUCGGCUUAACCGGAGUAGUGCAUUGGAAACUGGCAGACUUGAGUGCAGAAGAGGUGGGUGGAACUCCAUGUGUAGCGGUGAAAUGCGUAGAUAUAUCGAAGAACACCAGUGGCGAAAGCGGCUCUCUAGUCUGUAACUGACGCUGAUGUUCGAAAGCGUGGGUAGCAAACAGGAUUAGAUACCCGUGUAGUC